AGCGAACGCUGGCGGCAUGCCUAACACAUGCAAGUCGAACGAGACCUUCGGGUCUAGUGGCGCACGGGUGCGUAACGCGUGGGAAUCUGCCCUUGGGUUCGGAAUAACAGUUAGAAAUGACUGCUAAUACCGGAUAAUGUCUUCGGACCAAAGAUUUAUCGCCCAGGGAUGAGCCCGCGUAGGAUUAGCUAGUUGGUGAGGUAAAGGCUCACCAAGGCGACGAUCCUUAGCUGGUCUGAGAGGAUGAUCAGCCACACUGGGACUGAGACACGGCCCAGACUCCUACGGGAGGCAGCAGUGGGGAAUAUUGGACAAUGGGCGAAAGCCUGAUCCAGCAAUGCCGCGUGAGUGAUGAAGGCCUUAGGGUUGUAAAGCUCUUUUACCCGGGACGAUAAUGACAGUACCGGGAGAAUAAGCCCCGGCUAACUCCGUGCCAGCAGCCGCGGUAAU
rnacentral:rRNA from 1 species